rnacentral:rRNA from 1 species
UACGGAGGGGGCAAGCGUUAUUCGGAAUCAUUGGGCGUAAAGGGCGCGUAGGCGGCUUGGCAAGUCAAAGGUGAAAUCCCUCGGCCCAACCGAGGAACUGCCUUUGAUACUGCUUGGCUCGAGGCCGGGGGAGGGUAGCGGAAUUCCCAGUGUAGCGGUGAAAUGCGUAGAUAUUGGGAGGAACACCAGUGGCGAAGGCGGCUCACUGGCUCAUUUCUGACGCUCAGGCGCGACAGCGUGGGGAUCAAACAGG